UCUUUGAUUUUUAACAUUUUUAUUUUAAUGAAUUAUGCUGAUUGUCAUCAAAUUGAGAGAAAGUAUAGUAGCCGAUGAAGAUUACAGAUUAUCUAUUGGGCUAUUCGCCUCCUAUUUGGGCGACUUUUCUUGCUGGAUGAUAUUUUGGUUAUAUUUUGGUUAUAUACAGAUGGUUGAUUAUGUCAUUUAAGCAUAUAUUCUUCAUAAAUCUCCCCUUGAAAAAAAAAAGAAAAAAGAACUUUCUUCAGUUCAAUGGUGUUAUUCAAUGACUACCUUUUUUACUAUGCAGGGUGUUGUAUAGGCCAUAGAUAUGAAUAUGGAGCCAUCAUCCUACUAGGUAAUCAUUUUGGAUUUGGUUUUAGCUAUUACAUAAGCUUCUGAAUAUAAAAUGCUAAUAUCACA
rnacentral:lncRNA from 1 species